rnacentral:rRNA from 1 species
UGGGGAAUCUUGGACAAUGGGGGCAACCCUGAUCCAGCCAUGCCGCGUGAGUGAUGAAGGCCUUAGGGUCGUAAAGCUCUUUCGCCUGUGAAGAUAAUGACGGUAGCAGGUAAAGAAACCCCGGCUAACUCCGUGCCAGCAGCCGCGGUAAUACGGAGGGGGUUAGCGUUGUUCGGAAUUACUGGGCGUAAAGCGCACGUAGGCGGACCAGAAAGUUGGGGGUGAAAUCCCGGGGGCUCAACCCCGGAACUGCCUCCAAAACUAUUGGUCUAGAGUUCGAGAGAGGUGAGUGGAAUUCCAAGUGUAGAGGUGAAAUUCGUAGAUAUUUGGAGGAACACCAGUGGCGAAGGCGGCUCACUGGCUCGAUACUGACGCUGAGGUGCGAAAAGUGUGGGGAGCAAACAGGAUUAGAUACCCUGGUAGUCCACACCGUAAAACGAUGAAUGCCAGUCGUCGGGUAGCAUGCUAUUCGGUGACACACCUAACGGAUUAAGCAUUCCGCCUGGGGAGUAC